GACGAACGCUGGCGGCGUGCUUAACACAUGCAAGUCGAACGAUGAACCUCCAGCUUGCUGGGGGGGAUUAGUGGCGAACGGGUGAGUAACACGUGAGUAACCUGCCCUGGACUCUGGGAUAACCCCGAGAAAUCGGAGCUAAUACCGGAUAGGACCUUGCACCGCAUGGUGUGGGGUGGAAAGUUUUUUCGGUCUGGGAUGGACUCGCGGCCUAUCAGCUUGUUGGUGAGGUAAUGGCUCACCAAGGCGUCGACGGGUAGCCGGCCUGAGAGGGUGACCGGCCACACUGGGACUGAGACACGGCCCAGACUCCUACGGGAGGCAGCAGUGGGGAAUAUUGCACAAUGGGCGCAAGCCUGAUGCAGCAACGCCGCGUGCGGGAUGACGGCCUUCGGGUUGUAAACCGCUUUUAGUAAGGAAGAAGGGGCUUCGGCCUUGACGGUACUUGCAGAAAAAGGACCGGCUAACUACGUGCCAGCCGCCGCUGUAAUAC
rnacentral:rRNA from 1 species